rnacentral:rRNA from 1 species
UCUUGGGUCAUUUAGAGGAAGUAAAAGUCGUAACAAGGUCUCCGUAGGUGAACCUGCGGAGGGAUCAUUACAAGUGACCCCGGUCUAACCACCGGGAUGUUCAUAACCCUUUGUUGUCCGACUCUGUUGCCUCCGGGGCGACCCUGCCUUCGGGCGGGGGCUCCGGGUGGACACUUCAAACUCUUGCGUAACUUUGCAGUCUGAGUAAACUUAAUUAAUAAAUUAAAACUUUUAACAACGGAUCUCUUGGUUCUGGCAUCGAUGAAGAACGCAGCGAAAUGCGAUAAGUAAUGUGAAUUGCAGAAUUCAGUGAAUCAUCGAAUCUUUGAACGCACAUUGCGCCCCCUGGUAUUCCGGGGGGCAUGCCUGUUCGAGCGUCAUUUCACCACUCAAGCCUCGCUUGGUAUUGGGCAACGCGGUCCGCCGCGUGCCUCAAAUCGACCGGCUGGGUCUUCUGUCCCCUAAGCGUUGUGGAAACUAUUCGCUAAAGGGUGUUCGGGAGGCUACGCCGUAAAACAACCCCAUUUCUAAGGUUGACCUCGGAUCAGGUAGGGAUACCCGCUGAACUUAAGCAUAUCAAUAAGCGGAGGA